rnacentral:lncRNA from 1 species
CUUUAAAUAUAAAUAAUGUCAAAAAAAAAAUUCAUAAAAUUUUCUUUCCCUCCUCUUUAAGAACAUUGUAAGUUUGUAACAUUAUAACAUACCAAACUCUAAAAAGAUUGAAAAAAAUACUAAUAAUAUUUCCAUUUUACCAGGAUUACAAAAAAUCUUUGACCCAAACCCGACCUAACUCGGCAAUCAAGUCAGGUUCGUGUGCAGUAUUUUUUCACCUUUUCGAGUUGGCACUGAGAACUAUCCAUUCCUAUUCACAAUUUGUCGAAGAAAAAGAUUGGAUAAGUCAGUAACUUAAGAACGUUACUAAUGUUUUGAAGAAGAAAAAUUCAGUAACGAAACAACGUUAUCAAUGUUUCCCAAAAUAUGUUCUACUUUCUGUUUAUAUAAAGUAUAAAAAUUAAACAAUGAACAUCGAUUAAAUUGUUGCAAAUUCAUCACAAACUCAAAAGAAUUUCUUAAUUGAAUCUGCGAGUUUAUUUAUCACCUCUUGUAAAUUCUGUGAUGGAUUCCAAUGUUGAAAGCAGUAACAACAUUGUUGAGUCGAAGGGGGAAAUGAAAGGCAAUGAAGGGAAGAAACCGAACAAUGAUGUUAAUCUGAAAGAGAAGUUCAAUAAACGUGGUUUUGGUCUUCUUCAGGGAAAGAAGUUCCAGUCUGGUUCAGUCUAUUGUGGUUGGUGUACCGGCUGUCCCGGAACCGGCUAAUGAUGCAUGUACUUUCAACUUUAUUUUCACAAUAAAUCUGUU